rnacentral:misc_RNA from 1 species
GGAAGUAAAAGUCGCAACAAGGUUUCCGUAGGUGAACCUGCGGAAGGAUCAUUAAUGAGUUGUCAUGGGGUUCGAUGCUGGCAGCCAGUUUUUGGAUGCAUGUGCUUGCCCUAACAAUCAUCUUCUUCCAAACACCUGUGCACAUUUUUGAGGGAGUCUUGAGUUGGUUGCCGCUCUUGGGUGAUUUUCUCACAUUCCCUUAAAUCAUUAUACGCUAUUAACAAUGUUGAACGUGCUCUGUGCCGCAAGGCCAUUAAUAUAAUACAACUUUUAACAACGGAUCUCUUGGCUCUC